GUGACGUAGCCGCGGUGAUUCUUAGCGCUGCGGCGAUGAAUGAAAAAACAGCUUUGGAUCAAAUUUUGCUGCUCUGAGAAUUCGCUUACUUACAGUGGCAUUGUAAUGGUUUGUUUUGAAAGUGUUUGCAUUUAGUUUUAUUGAUUUGUGUAGAUACACUGCCCUUUAGUGGUAACAGUGAAUAUGACGUAACUCAUUUAAACAUGGCCUAAUAGUUUACAGGUGUACUGAGCUGUUUUUUUUUUUUGUUUUUUUUUGUGGGAAUAUGUGUUUGAAUGAGCAUUUUAUAGCAUUUUAACUAGUGGAUUUUUGUAUUGGCGGAUCCUCAUUUAUGAGUUAUUUUCUGUACCGUUUGAAGCUAAGCUCAUAUAUUUUGAAAUGGGUUUAUUGCUCUUCCAUCCACCAUAGUUGGAAAAAUCACUGGGAAAUUUUCUUUUAAUGCUCUUUUCAAAGUGCAAUUUUAUCCAGCCUAUGUUUUACAUUUACUAAACUUGAAUCCGCAACGCAUCAAAUGUUCCCAAUCCGACGAUUGGAGUAUUCAAACUAAUUCACAGGUGUCAAACUGAUUCCAGAAAGGGCCAAGUGGGUGCUGGAUUGUGUUCCAACCGAUACCGCGCAGAGAGUUGAACCAAUGAACUUUCUGCUGAAACAAGCAGCACCUGACAAUGAUUCAAGGGGAACUGAAGAGCUUUUCAGAUUUCGCUCUUAAGCGUUUUACUCAGUUGAAUUGUAUUAAAUGCUUCAUUCGCUCUCUCAAAAAGUCACAUAAAAAAAAAAAAAAUAAUAAUUGACCGCGUAGUUUUUGAGUUAUGGCCAUAGCAACACCAUAGCAACGAGGGACGCGCCGUCCUGCCGACCCCUACCUCGUGACGUAACUUCCAGGAAGCCUCGCCACCACUCUGAACACGGAAAUAUAGCACCACGCUAUCCUCGCCAUAUAUUGCAAACAUUUUCUGGGUUUUACUCGCGGGAUUCGUCAUGCCAUCUCGAUGUGUAGCGAUAUGAAUUACUCACAGGAAGACUCGAGACUCUAGGAGUGGUCCAAAAAAAAACUUCUCCUGUAAAGCCACGACAGCUUUGAAAACCUACAACAAUGCAACCUUGGUUUUCCAAAGACGAAGCCAAACAUAAAAAAUUAAGUGGCGGAAACCCUCAACACGAUGAAAAAAGCGUUGCAAGUCAGUUGCCACCCAG